rnacentral:rRNA from 1 species
GACGAACGCUGGCGGCGUGCUUAACACAUGCAAGUCGAACGGAAAGGCCCUGCUUUUGUGGGGUGCUCGAGUGGCGAACGGGUGAGUAACACGUGAGUAACCUGCCCUUGACUUUGGGAUAACUUCAGGAAACUGGGGCUAAUACCGGAUAGGAGCUCCUGCUGCAUGGUGGGGGUUGGAAAGUUUCGGCGGUUGGGGAUGGACUCGCGGCUUAUCAGCUUGUUGGUGGGGUAGUGGCUUACCAAGGCUUUGCCGGGUAGCCGGCCUGAGAGGGUGACCGGCCCCGUUGGGACUGAGAUACGGCCCAGACUCCUCCGGUAGGCAGCAGUGGAGAAUAUUGCACUAUGGGCGGAAGCCUGAUGCAGCAACGCCGCGUGCGGGAUGACAGCCUUCGGUUUGUAAACCGCUUUCGCCUGUGACGAAGCGUGAGUGACGGUAAUGGGUAAAGAAGCACCGGCUAACUACGUG